rnacentral:rRNA from 1 species
AUGAACGCUGGCGGCGUGCCUCAUACAUGCAAGUCGCGCGAACAGACGAGGAGCUUGCUCCUCUGACGUUAGCGGCGGACGGGUGAGUAACACGUGGAUAACCUACCUAUAAGACUGGGAUAACUUCGGGAAACCGGAGCUAAUACCGGAUAAUAUAUUGAACCGCAUGGUUCAAUAGUGAAAGACGGUUUUGCUGUCACUUAUAGAUGGAUCCGCGCCGCAUUAGCUAGUUGGUAAGGUAACGGCUUACCAAGGCGACGAUGCGUAGCCGACCUGAGAGGGUGAUCGGCCACACUGGAACUGAGACACGGUCCAGACUCCUACGGGAGGCAGCAGUAGGGAAUCUUCCGCAAUGGGCGAAAGCCUGACGGAGCAACGCCGCGUGAGUGAUGAAGGUCUUUGGAUCGUAAAACUCUGUUAUUAGGGAAGAACAAAUGUGUAAGUAACUAUGCACGUCUUGACGGUACCUAAUCAGAAAGCCACGGCUAACUACGUG